AUGGGAACGCGAAGAACCUUACCUACUCUUGACAUCCAGAGAACUUAGCAGAGAUGCUUUGGUGCCUUCGGGAACUCUGAGACAGGUGCUGCAUGGCUGUCGUCAGCUCGUGUUGUGAAAUGUUGGGUUAAGUCCCGCAACGAGCGCAACCCUUAUCCUUUGUUGCCAGCGGUCCGGCCGGGAACUCAAAGGAGACUGCCAGUGAUAAACUGGAGGAAGGUGGGGAUGACGUCAAGUCAUCAUGGCCCUUACGAGUAGGGCUACACACGUGCUACAAUGGCGCAUACAAAGAGAAGCGACCUCGCGAGAGCAAGCGGACCUCAUAAAGUGCGUCGUAGUCCGGAUUGGAGUCUGCAACUCGACUCCAUGAAGUCGGAAUCGCUAGUAAUCGUAGAUCAGAAUGCUACGGUGAAUACGUUCCCGGGUCUUGUACACACCGAGUCGU
rnacentral:rRNA from 1 species